ensembl:lncRNA
AUGCUGACCGGUCCCUGGACCCCUCCAGACACAAAAGGCACCGUAGCCCUGGCGUGGCGCCCCCCAGGAGAGGCACCCCGAGCCCUGCCGCUGCGCUUCCCUCCCGACGGCGACGACGGGCGCUGGCUGAGGACCUACCUGCACGCAGCCGACUCACACCUGGGCGGCUACGCUGUCCAAACUGCCAGGUUAAACACACUCCAGCUGCCGGAGCACCUCGUCCUCGAGCAGUGCUGUGCGCAAGUGUGUCCCCAGGAGGACCCACGGAGCCUCCGGAGGGAAGUGCACAGACCCCCAUCCUCCUCAUCCCCCAGAAUGCUACCCGUCGCCACGGAAACAUGCCGGUCCUCCCCAGCCACGUCCGCCUGGCAGCAGUGCCUGGGUGGGAAAUGUGAGAAAGGGAGGCCGCCCCGGUGCACGCUGGGAGCAGAUCGCCCUGAGGGUAGAGGGUACCUGAGCAUGGAGCACAGCGCCAGCGGCCCCCCCUCUCGGCCACAGCUGCCUGCAGGGCCCAGCUCUGCUCCCUCCCACCUGCUCCGGUACAGCUGUACCCACAAUGCCGAGGGGCCGCGGACUCCCCCGUGGAGCGACCGCACCCGGAACCCCCCCGCAGGGGUCAACCGGGCGCCGCUGUCUGGCGUUUCCACGGAGACGAGCGACUUCCUGUGCGGGAGGUGUGUCUCCUGCAAGCUGGAGACUCGCACUUUCAACGGUCUGUGCUUCAGGUGCCUGCAGAGCCGCACGGCGCCCCCCCCAGGCGGACACCCAGCCCCAGGACCCCCCCUGGAGCUCGCGCCGCCCCAGGACCGGGACCCGCCUGCAGGGGGGCUGUUCACGGAGCGGUGCCGUACCCCGCACUGCGUUUACUUCGGAACCCCCAAGCGCUCGGGGUACUGCAGCCUGUGUUACUGCAGCCAGGAUGCAGUGCAGGCCGCUCCCCCACCACCCACCCCGUCUCUCCAGCUGUCGUCCACGCUGAGGGGUCUCCCGCGUUGCUCCGCCCCCGGCUGUCACAUGCUGGGGACGCCCGCCUUCCGCGGCCUCUGCGAGCGCUGCCACCUGUCGUCACGCCAGACGGCCAUCAGCGCGCCGCAGUGCCACCUUCAGGCCAGCAGGGGAACCCACCGGAGAUGCGACACGCUUGGAGUUUCUCAGAGAGCUGAGCAGUCAGACAGCGGCUGUGGGUUCGAGUCCCCACGCUGACGGGGCAGGGGACGGCGGUGAGGAAGGGGGCUGGACCACGGAGAGACCGCAAACAUCACAGGAGCCUCAUCCUCAUCACCUGCACCACCGCCCACUGCUGGUGGAACCGCUCCACCUGGUCACCGAGAGACGGCGCUUUCGCUCCCCGCUUGUCCGAGGUGUGCGUUUUCAGAGUCUGUGGGGGGGGGAUGAGGUGGACGACUGAUCCGUCCAGCAGAGACGUGGCGAAAAAGAACCGGACGUCACGAGGACCCGGAAAAGGAUCAGUUGGGUCGGACUGGGAUUGGGGGGGACAGGACUGUCCAUAAUUACGUUUAUACUCUAGUUUAUGUUGAAUUAUGUUGUUAUUUAUUAUAUUUCGUGUGGCAGCAUGGCUCUCUCUGCAGUACAAACAUUAUUUCUAUUAUUAUUAUUAUUAUUAUUAUUAUUAUUACUAGUACAACUCAUUCAAGUAUGUGUCUGUCCACUGUGUGAAGACACAGCCUUUCCCAUUAAACAAAUACUGCAAACGAAAUGUGGAACGGCGGGGUGUCACAGUCAGUGGAAACAGCCCCUCCAACACCACCAACACACCCCCCCAAAACACACACACUGAGGUGUCUUGUGAGAACUGGGUAAUGAACUUAACGUCACAGACACUAGGCGGCGCUGCUCUGUGUGCUCUGCCCCCCCCCCCCCCCCCGCCCCCACCAACACCAACAGCGGCCGACUCACAUCCUAACAGCACAUCCACAGCUGACGGUUAAGGGAUCGCAGUCUUCAGUGCCAUCGCAGUGGUGACAGGGUGCUCCUCCGAGGGGGGGGCCCUGCUCCUCUUCCUCCUGCUCCUUCCAACAAGAGGUGUGGAGAUGAGAGGAAAAGUCCAUCAGCAAGCAGGACGACAGGCCUGAGUCCAACUCGAACCCACAGCUGUGAGGAAACCUGGAAAAUGAUCUUUGUCCCUCAUGACCUGAUUGCACCUGUCAGCUCCACAUCUCUGCAAAUCCACACACACACACACACACACACACACGCACACACACUCACACACACACACGCACACACACUCACACACACACACGCACGCAAACUCUGUCUGCUUAGUGGUCCCACUCCAGGGUUCGAAAUCUAAAGUCUGUAACUCUUCAGUUUUGUUCCACGUGUGGUGAAAUGAGCUCCUUGUGCCCCCCAGAGAUGCUGAACCCUUCACAUAUUAAAGAAGGGUCUCGAACCCGUGUCCUUCAGAGCCACUUCUCUCCUGAUCUCCUGACAGCUCCAUCAAUGAGUCCAACACCAUCUGCUACGAUUAUCUGUGUAUUUGCUCUUUGAAUCUCAAUUCUAUAGGAGCUACUGGAGGGACGUGACCCAGCGACACGGUGGUGUCAAGGCGCACAAGCUGUGUGUCCAUAGUCCCGUGUGUGUCUGAAGCUCUUAGUCUGCUGUCAGUGUACUUUGUUUACUCUGUUUUGUUGGGAAAGAAUAAUGAAUAAAUGAAUAAACGUAAAACCA